rnacentral:lncRNA from 1 species
GUCCCCUUCCACACUGUGCAAGCUUUGUUCUUUUGCUCUUCACAUUAAAUCUUGCUGCUGCUCACUCUUUGGGUCCAUGCCAUCUUUAAGAGCUGUAACACUCACCGCGAAGGUCCGCGGCUCCAUUCUUGAAGUCAGCAAGACCACGAACCCACCAGAAGGAACCAGCUACGGACACAAAACUUCAUAUAAGUUCCUCUUUACUGUGCCCUGGGACCAAGGUAAGCAGGCACAAAGGAAUGGCUUCUGAAACAUGUAGACGAGCAUAGGCACAUACCAGCAUAUGCUUUCAAUAAUGAGGAAGAAGAAAACGAAUAUAACGGCUGAGAAGCUUCCAAUAUACCACCAAAUCCGGACUCUGGAGACUCCCAAGCAGACUGUAAAAGCUGAUUGCCUCAAAGUGUCAAAAUCCAAAUCUAAAAUCAUAUCCUGUCCUUUCUUCUGGCACCUAUCAAGAUGAUUCUGAGGGGUUUAUAAGUUUCUUAUAAUAACCUAUUUCAUAGUAUGGAAAAGUUGUCAUGAAACUCCUGUUUGUUACCUCAUUAUGGUGUCCUUGUUUCUUGUUUAGCAAUAGCCUAAACAGGCUCUGCGGGAUGCUCAGAAAAUGGUUACAUGGGUGUAGCUACAAGCAAAACAGGAAUGCAGAGAAAAGAACUAACAGGCCCUGCUGGUUUCUCAGAUGCAGUGCUGCAUAUUCCAAGAGGCCUUCAUUAGGAGACAGGCAUUAGGAGGGGUUGAUUGCAGGCCAAUCAACUAGCUGCAGUUUCAAGGCUGCUUCCAGCUUACUCGUCUGUUUGAAUAAGUUGAAGUAAAUUUAGCUACAAGGAGACUCCACUUCUAUUUAAUCAAAUAGUCUUAAUGCAGUAAGGAAUCUUAGUGCAACAAACCAUCACCAUCCUAAUGCGAUCACCUUGUAAGAUUCCUCAUCUAGUGUUUGAAUCCCUUGGGGGGCAACCCCCAUUAUUGCUAACCAGGUUUCCUUUAACAUCUUCAGUAAUUUAAAUUUCACUGCCAACACCAGCGAACCUGCUCUUUUAUUGAAUAACUCGAACUGUUAUGAAGUUGUUAUACUGAGCAGCAAAGUAUUUACUAAAUAGAAAAUGCCCUACUGUUCUAAUUCUAUCCCUUGGUAUGACAUUAAAAAAAAACUCCAGUCCCUUUUUCUCAUGUGAUUCCUUCAAACAUUUCAAAGCAACCAGAGUAUUUUGCCCAAAUAGUCUUGUUUUCAUUACAGCUAUGUAUAGUUUGUUCAUCACAUGGUUUCAAGUCUCUUUACAAUCUUUGUCAUUUUUCCCUGGACGUAUUUGGAACUAAACGUUAUCCCAGAGUUGAAUACAAAAUUCUGUGUCUGUGUACCAAAAAAUUGUACAUUCCUAUGGCAUUUACAGUUACAAAAAAGUUUUAAGUAUUUUUUCAGAUACUCUGUUAUCUUACCUUUUUCUCUGUAGUAUACUAUUUGGGAACAGUAAGUUCCAAAGCGCUUUUUGGGACAGUAACUUUUUAGGGAACAAUUCUUCUUUUUUUACUCAAUUUUUGAAUUUUACUCCUAAACCUGUGAAAUCUAGUAGUGGAUACAAUAUCACAACCCAAGGGUAAUUCUGGAUCUCUAAUUUUUCAUUCAAAAACUGGUCUAUCUUAAGCAGCUUAUAGGAAUUCUUUUUUCUUUUGAUUUUGAAAGUGAUUCACUUCACACAGGUAGCUUUGCUUAGGUUUAUGGCUGGUGUUCUGAUUUCUUGAUGCCCAUGCCAUACCAGUAGUUACAUAUUUUGAAUGUCACUCAUUCCUGAUCUUCAAUAUAUGUCAAAGGGAUGGAACAUAUAUUGAGGAAUAGAUCUAAUGUAAAAUAUUAGAAUAGUACAUGUAUAUGUACUCCUCUAAAAUGCUAGAGAAAAUAAACUUAUAAAUGUUAUAUUGCCUAUAAUAUGCACAUUAAGGAAAGACUUAUUCUUUGAAUUGGCCAAUUUAUCUAUUUUUAUAUGUUGAUAGUUAUGAAAGUUAAAUGUUUUCUACCCUCCGGAAGUACACCUGUGUGAUUUUUUUUUUUUUUUUAAGUUAAUCUCCUUUAAGCAAAAUGUGUUUGGUAUUUGGAAUGUUGGGUCCUUUCUGUGGAGGUUGUUUAAAAUGUAAAAUAAUCCAUUGUUCUCAGCUAAAAUAGUUCUCUGUUACUAUCUUCUUGCGAUCUUUGUCCUUCAUGCAGUUUUAAAUCCGGAUGCAUAGUUUUCCUGCCAGAAGUUAAUGCUUACUUCUCAUUUGUUUUCUUUUCCUGUUGCCUUCAGAGCUCACAGAGAGAAGAUGCUAUUUCUGCAAUCUCUAAGACAUGUGGCUUUCCCAGGCAGAUUGUUUAUUUAAUGAAAAAGAAGAGAGGUCCACUCUAUUUGUUUGGAGUUAUGUAAAUAUUCUUUAAAAGGAGGAUUUCCUCAUUUAUUCCACUUCAGUCUUCCUGUUCAGAGAGAGCUUUAAAUGCACCUUAAAUCACUAUAUGAUGACAGCUUGAGUUACAGUUUUAUAACAGUACCAAAUAUAUUCAAGACGUUGUGAAUAAGAAAGGAAAAAUGGAUUAAUUCCUAAUUUAUCUCUCUAUAUAUUACAAUAUAAGAUUAUUGCAUAUCUUCACGUAUAAAACCAGUUUAUCAUUAUAAACCUAGUAAUAAAAAUAACACAUAGUGCUAUGAUAAUAGGUAAGUUUGAAUAGAAGGUAUCAAAAAGGAGACAGAUAAGGUAUUGUUCUAUACAUUUAGUACUAAUAGUUUUGUUUCUUUUUUUAUUUCACAUUCUUACUCAGGUAGAGUUUGCUCACCAUGUUGUAAUUGAAGUUGGAAAACUCUUUAAAAGGUACCAUAAUAGAAGGAUGUUUUCAAUCGGAAACAGUAUAUUUUUUAUUUCUCUUUUCAUCAUCUUGUGAGUUGAGUUUUAAAUUAAACAUAGAAUUCAGAUAACACCAUGAAUAAACCUUAAAGCAUUUCACAUUUUGCAAAUAUAAUUAUUUCUCAAAUAUGUAACCAGAAUGGGCAUAUGGUAGGUACUACAGAGAGAAAAGGGUAACAAUGAUUAAAAUAUCAUUAAAAAUAAUAUUGUGGAAUGUUAAUAUUUAAUAUAACAAAUGUUUACACAUAUAAUUAUACAUAAUAUAUACAUAUGUUUUACAUGCACUACAUAUAACACAUAUAAUGUAUAUUUCACAUAACAUGUUACAAAUAAUCUUAUAUAUGUAAUUUAAAUAUAUUUAUAUAUUUAUAAAUAUAAAUACACUGUCAAGGGUUGGAAUUACAUUAGAGCUUUUUCAUUUUAUGUAGUGAAUACUCAUAGAUCAGGUACAGAUAUUUUUUCUCAGAACAUUUUUAGACUGUAUUAAAUAUUAUAGUAUAAAAUUGGUGAAGUGAAGCCAUCAAAAUGACUAUACCAGCUCUUUUAUAACUACUUUUAAAAAGGCAAAUAUUAGUAUAUAAUUUUAUCCAAAGCAUAAUAUCUAUGGACGUAGAUGACCUGUUUAAGGAGAAAAGAAACAUGUUCAAAUCACAUUGAAAUAACAGAGAGAAAUGUCAGGGUUUCAGUGUUACGUGAGGGAAACAUUAUGUUUCCUCCAAAUAAUAAUAAGUUGCCAGGUAUUUUAUCAUAGUUUCUUGAAAUUGACACAGACCUUUAGGUCUGUUGUGCAUCGUACGUAAUUUUCUUGUUUGGCGUUGCACUGAUUUUAAAAGUUCUGCAAUAAAGCACAUUAAUUGCAUUGUUUUCUUUUCAUUUAGAAUUUCAGACAUUAUUUCCAGAAAAGUCAUAGUUUGAAGCGCUUCAAAAUCUUUGAACUUAGAAAAGGAAAGGAAGUUCCUUUAUGUCAAAACUGUGAUAAAAGCAAACAAACAUUUAAUAAAUGUUGGAUAGACUUAAAUAGUUUUGUGUUCAUCUCAAGCAUACAUUGAAAGCUUAUUAAACUGUAUUAACUUGUGUAAUAAAUGUUAUAAAAGAAUCAGAGUUCUGGAAGAUUCUUGUUUCCUUUAGGCAGAACCACAUUUGAAGCAAACUGAAGUGAGAGAAAGCAUGAUUGUGCAAAAGAGCUUAGAGUUUUAUACACCCUCUCAACAACUCUUCCUAUUAGUCUCACCUGUACUGCCAGGUCAUUCAUGCUUCCUUUUCAUUUGUCUUCUUUUGUCACUGUAAGUUAAGCCAAGUAAUUGCUGCCUCUGCUGUCCUCAGGUUGAAACAGAGUUAAAUUAGCUCACCUCUAUGUGUGCCAGAUGUUCCUUUGGUCAAGGUGGCUGGUUCUCUCUGUUUCUGUAGGUAAAGAAUUGUAAUUGCUUGAGCUUCUAGCCAUUGUUCUUUUUUAUCAAACCUUUCGUCACCAUGAAGAUUUCCUUCUGUGCCUUUUGCAGUCAUCCACAGCUUUCACAAACGAGGGCUAAUUAUCACUGAUGUGACUGACUGCCAUUAUUUCCUAGUUAUAAUUUUCUCAAUACAAUUUCUCUUCACAACUCCUCUUAGGAUACUUUUGAGCUAUUUCCACUUAUUAGUUUAACAAUUUUGUAACUUCUUUCUUUGUAUUUCCUAAUGUAGAAACAUAGGUGGAUUGAAACCCACGUUUCCAAGGAAUAAAGCUAAGAGUGUGUUUAAAGAGAAGGCUCAUAUGUAUUACUGAGCUUCUCUACUGUUAGAGUAUAUAGAAGAUAGUCUCUUCUUUAUUUUGCAAAUACGACAACUGAAUCACAGGGCAUUCAUUACUUUAGUAAACCUCUACUUAGCAAAAUCUUUACAACUUACUGCUAUUAACAAUUAGAGUAUUGGUAAUACUGAGUGAUGUAAUUAUUGCUAUACAGGUGAUUUCAGAGCCUGGUUAACACAGAAAUCUAAAUCUCAGAUCUAACUUAUUUCAUUCCAAGGUUAGGGAGGGAAUUUUGCUUAGAUUUCCUGCUCCCAGUGAAUCUUGAGUGGUGUCCAAUAGUUCUAAGCCAUGGACACUGGGUUUAAGUCACUAUGGGAAUUCCUCAUUGAUUGGUUCCACUGAAUUGGUAAAUACAGUUAUUCACAUCUCAGUUAGGUGGUAUGUUCUGCAGUUAGCUUAUAGGGCAAAAUCCCACAUAUUAAAAAUUCCAUGCCCCACAUCCCUCCCUCCCCUACCAUCACAUCCUACACUAGAGUGAUACAUUUGUUACAAUCCAUGAACCAACACUGACACAUUGUUAUCACCCAAAGUCCAUAGUUUACAUGAGAGUUCACUCUGUGUUGUACAUUCCAUAAGUUUUGACAAAUGUGUAAUGGCAGAUAUUCAUCCUUAUAGUAACAUACAGAAUAGUUUCACUUCCCUAAAAGUGACCUGUGCUCUACCUGCUUAUUUGUAUGUCUCUCUAUUUUUCCCACACCCUGGCAACCAUGUAUUCUUUUACUGCCUCCAUGGUUUUGCCUUUUCCAAAAUGUAUAAACGUGGAAUCAUAUGGUAUGUAGCCUUUCCAAACUGUCUGUUUUCACUUAAUAAUAUGCUUUUCAUGUUCUUCCGUGUCUUUUCAUGGCUUGGAAAAUGAUACUACUUUUGAGUCAGAAAAUUUUAAGGAGCACUUAAAAGCAAUGUUUUUGUUUCAUCCUGAAAAGAGAAGAAAAUAUGCUUUUUGAGUAGAAAUUUUAUAUAUUAUUUGAAGAUUCCCUGCUUCCCACAUAGAAUGUGGUCAGGAGCAUGUGAAAACUAUUACAGAUCACUUAAUGUGGAAGUUAAAUAAUAUAAAAAGUAAUGAAAACUAGAUUAUCAAUUCUGAUCUAUGUUCAUUAAGAAGCAUGAACUAUUAACAAGUAUGUAGAUAGUUUUUACUGUUGCUCAACCCUUGUAAGCUACAAAUAAGAACCAACUGUAUCUUACAGAAUUGAAUUGAGUGAAACUUAACAUUAUAGUGCCCCAAAAAAGAGAAAGGUUUAAACGUAAUUUUUGUCUAAACUUAUCCAAUUAUAAAUAUUCUUUCAUUCUAAUUUAAUUAAAAUGAAGGUAGACCUUGAUGUGAUAUACAACUUCAGCAAAGUUUCAGGUUACAAAACCAAUGUACAAAAAUCACUUGUAUUCCUGUGCACCAACAACAUCAAGCUGAGAGCCAAAUGAAGAAAGAAAUCUCAUUCCUAAUAGCCACAAAAAGAAUAAAAUACCUAGGAAUACAGCUAACCAAGGAGGUGAAAGACCUCUGCAAUGAAUAUAAAACGUUGAGUGAAAUCAAUGAUGACACAAACAAAUGGAAAAACAUUCCAGGCUCAUGAAUAGGAAGAACCAAUAUUAUCAAAAUGGCCAUACUGCCCAAAACAGCAUUACUUCGGUGCUAUUCCUAUCAAAUUACCAAUGACAUUCUUCAUGAAAUUAGAAAAAACUAUUUUUGAAUUCAUAUGGAACCAAAAAAGAGCUCAGAUAGCCAAGGCAAUUCUAAGCAAACACUGGAGGCCUCACGUUACCUGACUUCAAAUUGUUCUACAAGGCUCAGUAAUGAAAACAGCAUGGUACUGGUACAAAAACAGACACAUAGACCAAUGGAACAGAACAGAGAGCCCAGAAAUAAUGCCAUAUACCUACAACCAUUUGAUCAUUGACAAAAUCCACAAAACAAGCAAUAGGGCAAGGAUUCUCUAUUCAAUAAAUGGUGCUGGGAUAACUGGCUGACCAUAUGCAGAAGAUUGAAACUGGACACUUUCCUUACACCAAAUAUAAAAAUUAAGAUGGAUUAAAAACUAAAACCAAAGGCUAACAUCAAAAACUACAACAACCCUGGAAGAUAACCUAGAAAAUACUAUUCUGGACAUAGGACUUGGCAAAGACUUCAUAACAAAGACACCAAAAGCAAUUGCAACAAAAACAAAAAUUGACAAAUGGGACCUAAUUAAAGAGCCUCUGCACAACAAAAUAAACUAUCAAAAAUGUAAACAGACGAUCUACAGAAUGGAAGAAAAUAUCUUCAAACUAUGCAUCUGACAAAGGCCUAAUAUCCAGAGUCUAUGAGAAACUUAAAUUUACAAGCAAAAAACAACGCCAUUAAAAAGUGGGCCAAGGACAUGAACAGACACUUUUCAAAAGAAGACAUUCAUGCAGCCAAGAAGCAUAUGAGAAAAUGCUCAACAUCCUUAUCAUUAAAUAAAUGCAAUUCAAAACUGCAAUGAGAUACUUUUCACACCAAUCAGAAUGGCUAUUAUUAAAAAGUCAAAAAAUAACAUGUUGGUGAGGUUGUAGAGAAAAGAGAAUGCUUAUACACUGCUGGUGGAAAUGUAAACUACUUCAGUUAUUGUGAAAAGCAGUUCGGUAGUUUCUAAAAGAACUUAAAAUAGAAGUACCAUUUGAGCCAGCAAUCUCAUUGUUGGGUAUACACCCAAAGAAAUAUAAGUUGUUCUACCACAAAGGCACAUGCACAUGUACGUUCAUUGCAGCACUAUUCACAAUAGCAAAGACAUGCAACAACCUAAAUGUCCAUCAAAGGUAGACUGGAUAAAAAAUGUUGUACAUACACCAUAGAAUACCAUGUAACCAUAAAAAAAGAAUUAGAUCAUGUGCUUUGCAGCAACAUGGAUGGAGCUGGAGGCCAUUAUCCUAAGCAAACUGAUGGAGGAACAGAAAACCAAAUACCUCAUAUUCUCACUUGUAAGUGGAAGCUAAACACUGAGUACACACAGACACAAAGAAGGGAACAACAGACAUGGGGGCCUACUUGAGGGUGGAGGGUGGCAGGAGGGUGAAGUUUGAAAAACUACCUAUCGGGUACCAUGUUUAUUACCUGGGUGACAAAAUAAGUUGUACACUAGACCACCAUGACACACGAUUUACCUACAUAGCAAACAUGUACACAUACCCCUGAACCUAAAAUAAAAGCUUAAAAUAAAAAACAAAAUAAAAUAAAAUACAAGGUAUAGAAUAGGGUAGUCAUUGGAAGUUCAUGAUUAAAUAAAUAUAACUGUGGUGGGAGGAUCACGACGGAAAAUAAUUUUAUUUUAUUUUUCUGUGCUUUAAAUCUUAUGUCCUAUGGUUUGUUAAUAAAAAUCAUGGACUCUCAAAAGUUUAAAGGAACUUAAAAUGUCUUCAAAAUUGAGGAACUGUAUAUAUUUUAUACUUUUUGACUAUUUCUUCUUUCAGCUGGUUGUUUUGGCAUAGAUAUUAACUCUGAUAUUUAUCUAAGAAGAGCUGCUAUUAUUGAUUCUAUGUUAUAGAAUAUGUUUUCAACCUUGCUCUAAUCCUAGGAGGGAAUUUAACCAGCUAGGAACGUGAUACAGAUCACCACAAGAAAACUGGGUGGAUGAUCACUGUCACCGGUGAAAAUUUGUUUUGUGUGCAUAUAUAAAUGUUCCCUAUUUACAAUGGCUUGACUUCCUGGUGGUUAAAAAGUGAUAUACAUUCAGUAGAAACCAAACUUUGAAUUUCAAAUGUUGAUCUUUUCCUGGGAUAGGGAUAUGAGGUCUGAUACUCUCUAGAUGCUGGGCAGCAGCAGGGAGCAGUAGCAAUCAUGAGGGUAAACAAACACUACUGUAUUCCAUACUGUACUAUAUUCAAUACAGUACAAGAGAUAUUCAACACUUUGUUAUAAAAUAGGUUUGCAUUCUAUGAAUUUGCUGUAGGCUAAUGUAACUGUUCUGAUCAUGUUUAAGGUAGGCUAGGCUAAGCUAUGGAUUCCAUAGGUUAUUUGUAUUAAAUGCAUUUUUGACUUAUAAUAUUUUCAACUUAAUGAUGGGUUUAUAAGAAGGUAAGUUGAAGUGCAUCUGUAUAUAUCAAUCAAUAAAGAAUGGGCUUCCACUUCAUUUUAAAAAAUUGCUUUAAAAAUAAAUUGAAAUUUACUUAGGAGAGGUUUGUUUUGUGUUAAAUAUUAGUUUUGUUUUACACUUAAAUUAUCUGGAUUUAUUAAUUUCCCAAUGUCUUCACUAAGGCAAAAUUUAAUUGGAAUUGAAAUCAGAUACAUUAGACACAUUGGAGUUUAUAUAAAAUCAAGAAAAUUUUCUAAGUAUAACAUUAAUAGUGAUCAUUCUAAUCAUAAUUAUUCAAAAGACCUGGUUCAAUACAGCAUUGGAUUUAUUCUAUAGAAAAUGAGAUAGAAAUAUUAAGUGCACUGAAAAUAAACUCAACUUCUCUAUAAUAUUUUCUUUUCACUAAAUAUUAAUAUUUAUAUUUCAAGGAUAAACAUUGGUAGGGAAUCUGCUGAAAUCAGGUAACAGUAUUCUAUGAAUCUAGUGAUUAGAAAGGAAUUCAACUAACUGGUAAAGGGGAUACAUUUACAUAUUUUCCAGGCUAUCACCACCCUUUUUAAACAGUCCUGACUCGUCUUUGGCAAUUGUGCUCUAUGGGAAAAUAAUAUAACACUUUGUUUUAUAAUUUUAACUUUGGAAAAACACAGCCUCAAAUAAAUGACUAAGUUUGCUUUUAUUCCCAUUAAACGUUAAACUUAAAAGUUCAGAUUUGAGGCUGGGUGCGGUGGCUCACGCCUGUAAUCCCAGCACUUUGGGAGGCUGAGGCAGGUGGAUAGCUUAAGCUCAGGAGUUUGAGACCUGCCUGGCUAACAUGGUGAAACACUGUCACUACAAAAAAAUUAGGUUGGUAGGGAGGCACAUGCCUGUGGUCUCAGCUACUCAGGAGGUUGAGGUAGGAGGAUAACUUGAGCCCAGGAGGUCCAGGCUGCAGUGAGCUGAGAUCACACCACUGCACUCCAGCCUGGGUGACAGAGCAAGACCCUGUCUCAAAAGAACAACAGCAAGAAAAAACAAAAAUUCAAACUUAAAAGUGUGAAUGCAUCCACUGUUGGGGAAAUAUAAUUAGAAACUAAAUCUUUCCCCAACCCAGAACACUUCUCAACAAACAUAGUAGAGAAAUAAGCCAGUUUUAUUAUUUUAAAAAGCAUGAAACCAGGAUGUCAUGCUAAUCACAUUGAAAAGACAGAAAGGAAUUUCACCCCCUAUAGGUCUAAGCAGAUAGACUUAUUACAUACAUGCGCUCAAGACAGACAAUCAUUAGUCCUCAAGUAAGAGGACUUUGCAAUACCUUUUGUCACAUUCUUUUAUCUUAAUUUUAUCAUGAUAAUUGGGGAGACUCCCUGUGGCUGUAUCAGGAGGAGUAACAAACUUCUCAUUGCAAAUUGGAACAAGAUGCCCACAGAUGUUAAGCUCUUUUCCUCCCACACUAACUGAAAGAUAGGGCCACUAUCUCUCUUUAUGUUUGCCUUUCAAAAAGAUGCCUACCCGAUGAAGUCUUCCUAAAAGGCACAAGAGAACAGGAUUCAAAAGUUUCUGGAUGGCUGAACAUGUGGAGGGUCCUGGAGGGUUGACCACCCAGGGAGGAUGUGGAAGCUCCACACCCCUUCCCCCAUACCUUGCCCUAUGUACCUAUAGUGAGUGAGUUCUGGUGAGAUCCGGUCAUGUAAAAGUGUGUAGCACCUCCCCUCUCACUCUCUUGCUCCUGCUUUUUCCAUGUGAAGGACGUGAUACUGCUUCAUCUUCCACCACAAAUAAAAGCUCCCUGAGGCCUCCCCAGAAGAUGAAUCAUGUUGGCACCAUGCUAAUACAGCCUGCAGAUCCAAUUAAACUUCUUUUCCUUAGAAAUUCCGCAGUAUCAGGUCUUUCUUUAUAUCAAUGUGAGAAUGGACUAAUCCACAUGCCACCUACCAGACCUUGCAGUACCAUGCUCACGGGCGCCAUACCUGCUGACCAGACCUUGCAAACUGUGUGAAGAAACUAAGUUGAGCAGCAUUCCACCAAAAAUCUUACUCAAAGGAGUUUACCCUCUCAUCUACAGUAUGUACACAAAUCAGGAGAAUGACCCACCUUGACCCCUUGACUCAUUAUAAUACUAAAAUCCCUGCCAAAGGAGGGCGUAUCCACCAUUUUUUGAUCAUGUGUUGCGUGAAGAAGUACGUUUCUAAACUGUGCUUAUGCCACUGAAACUCCUCCCUAAUCAUGCCUUGAUACCUUUCCUCUUUCCCUCCAGAAUUAAAAAAUCUUGGGUGGCUCCUCAUGGGAAGGCAGAGAACUAUCAUCCCUGUGCUGUUUCCCUUGUGCUCAAGCAUAAGCCCCUAAUAAAAUCUUGUCUGAAAC